rnacentral:misc_RNA from 1 species
AAAUGCGAUAAGUAAUGUGAAUUGCAGAAUUCCGUGAAUCAUCGAAUCUUUGAACGCACCUUGCGCCCUCUGGCAUUCCGGGGGGCAUGCCUGUCCGAGCGUCAUUACGCACCCUCAAGCCCGGCUUGUGUGAUGGGCCCCGGCGUCUCGUUCGCGAGACGGGCCCGAAAGGCAGCGGCGGCGUCGACCCGAUGAGCCCGAGCGUAUGGGGACUUCUGUCACACGUUCGCGGUGCGGACCGGCGCCUGCUUGACUUUUCUGAUUAUCCAGGUUGACCUCGGAUCAGGUAGGGAUACCCGCUGAACUUAAGC